CCUACGGGCGGCAGCAGUGGGGAAUAUUGCGCAAUGGGCGAAAGCCUGACGCAGCGACGCCGCGUGAGGGAUGAAGGUCUUCGGAUCGUAAACCUCUGUCAGCAGGGAAGAACGGUCACUGUGCUAAUCAGCAGUGAAUUGACGGUACCUGCAAAGGAAGCACCGGCUAACUCCGUGCCAGCAGCCGCGGUAAUACGGAGGGUGCGAGCGUUAAUCGGAAUUACUGGGCGUAAAGCGGUCGUAGGCGGUAUGUCAAGCCAAGGGGGAAAUCCCCGCGCUCAACGUGGGAACUGCCUUUGAAAAUGGCAAACUGGAGUGUGUGAGAGGAUAGUGGAAUUCCAGGUGUAGGAGUGAAAUCCGUAGAUAACUGGAGGAACAUCAGUGGCGAAGGCGACUAUCUGGCACAUAACUGACGCUGAGGAGCGAAAGCGUGGGUAGCAAACAGGAAUAGAUACCCUAGUAGUC
rnacentral:rRNA from 1 species